CGUGCACUGAUGGGGUCCCUCGGCCUGGCCUGUGGGGAUUGGGCUGAAAUUACUUCUCUGACAUCCCCCAAGUGGUCCCGGAUUGCAAGAGGGUGCAGGCCAGGCCGAGGGACCCCAUCGGUGCACG
rnacentral:pre_miRNA from 1 species